AGAUUGAACGCUGGCGGCAUGCCUAACACAUGCAAGUCGAGCGGCGAGCGGGCGGGGCCGACCGUGCGCGAGCGGCGGACGGGUGAGUAAGGCAUCGGAAUCUGCCCUGAUGUGGGGGAUAACGUAGGGAAACUUACGCUAAUACCGCAUACGACCGAGAGGUGAAAGCGGGGGACCGAAAGGCCUCGCGCAGCAGGAUGAGCCGAUGUCCGAUUAGCUGGUUGGUGGGGUAACGGCCCACAAGGCACGAUCGGUAGCUGGUCUGAGAGGAC
rnacentral:rRNA from 1 species